AAAUGCCCAUAUCUCCCUGGUCCUCAUGUUCCCACCCCCUGACCUCCAGUUCCUAAAGGGCGGCGGUCCAGGCUCUGCAGUGGGGGGUGACCUGGGGUUGGGG